CUAGCUGUGCUUGGAAAUCUUUGCCCUGAAACUGUAGAGGAAGCUAAUGCUCUUGUGCCUUCUCUAAAGACGAAAGGACGAAGCCAUGACGAUGAAGCAAUAGAGAAAUUGUUGAAUGACCUACUAAUGGUAAAGAAAUUUGAGUGAGUUUCUCAGAGUUUUCUUUUACUUCAAAAUGAAUAAAACAUAUCUAGUUGUGGUAGACUAUAUAUCUUUUGCCUUACUCCAUUGCCAAUAAGAUGCUAAUGUUGAACA